AAAUCUCCAAAAUAGUUCCCUUGAAUCAUUCUCCACUCUUGCCAAACCCAAACUCUUGAUUGUAGCACCGCCUCUGACCACUACCAGAGAUGAGUGUGAAAAAACACAUGAAUUAAAACAAAAUUAAGCAUUGUAAAAGUGUGGUGGAGAUUGAUCGUGCAAUCGGUUUCAUCGACAAUGAAAUAUGGAUCAAGCUCAUUGAGUUCUUGAUCGAAUUUGAAACUGACCAGAUUGAUCCACAAAAUGGUGGUCACUUCAUUCUUAUUUGAGAAAACAGAGCCUUCGACGAAGUAAAGAUUGACAGAGUCGAAGAAAGAAUGGAGAUCAAUUGGUGAUUAAAAUCAAAAUCAAAAGUGUUUAGAAUUUUCAUCAUUGACGUUGAUAAUGAUAUAACAAUAUACACAUGACCACAUUUGUUGCGUAUUUCAUGAGAGAUCACAACUAUCAGACACGAUUUUCAUGUUCUUCUUGUUCUUUAUUGGAGCUUCACAGUUCACAAAUCAUGUUGGUCUUGAUAGGGAUGAUAGAAGUGUCACACUUAUUGCAAACAAGAAAUUCAUAUUGCAGCCUAACCAUCAAUGAAUUUCCAAAUCUUGUUUUCUUUGUUACUCCAUUGAUUCAGAUUCAGAUUCAAAUUCAAAUUUAGAGACUGAAAGAAAGCAAACAAUAUCUCAAAUUUGGAUGAAUACUCCUGUAAUUUAUGGUUCGAUCAUAUUUAUUGGAAAAGUAUGAUUCUUAACUGACUACCGAAUAAAUUCAUAACUGCUUUUCUCCAUGGUUGCAAUUGGAAUCUUCUGUAAGAAAUUUUAUUGGUAAGUGUUGGUGUUUCAUUCAUU
rnacentral:lncRNA from 1 species